rnacentral:lncRNA from 1 species
UCCAGUGGUCGGGGAGUGUUCAGGAAAGUUGAUGAGGUUGGUGCAAGCUGGAAUAGUUGACAGUGAUUCUUCUUAUCGAAGAUGAUCUGAUUUGGUAAGAGAUGUUGUGUAACAAUAGUGGUAGAUUCUAAUUUCAAUACUGUAACCUGGAUGCGAUCCUGUUGCUUUUAGGGGGUUUAAAUGUUCUCUUUCGAAUCAAUUAUUAAAGUUUAAAUGUUCUCUUGAAAUUCUC